rnacentral:rRNA from 1 species
GAUGAACGCUGGCGGCGUGCCUAAUACAUGCAAGUCGAGCGAACGGACGAGAAGCUUGCUUCUGUGAUGUUAGCGGCGGACGGGUGAGUAACACGUGGAUAACCUACCUAUAAGACGGGGAUAACUUCGGGAAACGGGAGCUAAUACCGGAUAAGACUUUGAACCGCAUGGUUCAAAAGGGAAAGACGGCCUUGGCGUCACCUAUAGAUGGACCCGGGCUGCAUUAGCUAGUUGGGAAGGUAAAGGCUUACCAAGGCAACGAUGCAUAGCCGACCUGGGAGGGUGAUCGGCCCCAUUGGAACUGGGACCCGCUCCAGACCCCUACGGGAGGCAGCAGUAGGGAUUCUUCGGCAAUGAGCGAAAGCUGGACGGAGCAACGCCGGGUGGGUGAUGAAGGUCUUCGGAUCGUAAACCCCUGUUAUUAGGGAAGAACAGAUGUGUAAGUACCGGUGCCGAUCUUGACGGUACCAAAUCAGAAAGCCACGGCUAAUUACGU